rnacentral:rRNA from 1 species
UACGUAUGGUGCAAGCGUUAAUCGGAAUUACUGGGCGUAAAGCGUGCGUAGGCGGUUCGCUGUGUCCUAUGUGAAAGCCCCGGGCUUAACCUGGGAAUGGCAUUGGAAACUGGCGGGCUUGAGUGCGGCAGAGGGGGGUGGAAUUCCGCGUGUAGCAGUGAAAUGCGUAGAGAUGCGGAGGAACACCGAUGGCGAAGGCAGCCCCCUGGGUCGACACUGACGCUCAGGCACGAAAGCGUGGGGAGCAAACAGG